rnacentral:rRNA from 1 species
AGAGUUUGAUCCUGGCUCAGGAUGAACGCUGGCGGCGUGCUUAACACAUGCAAGUCGAGCGAGAAAAGUUCUUCGGAGCUUUUCUAGCGGCGGACGGGUGAGUACACGUGGGCAACCUGCCUCAUAGAGGGGAAUAGCCUUCCGAAAGGAAGAUUAAUACCGCAUAAUAUUGUUGAAAGGCAUCUUUUAACAAUCAAAGGAGCAAUCCGCUAUGAGAUGGGCCCGCGGCGCAUUAGCUAGUUGGUGAGGUAACGGCUCACCAAGGCGACGAUGCGUAGCCGACCUGAGAGGGUGAUCGGCCACAUUGGAACUGAGACACGGUCCAGACUCCUACGGGAGGCAGCAGUGGGGAAUAUUGCACAAUGGGGGAAACCCUGAUGCAGCAACGCCGCGUGAGUGAUGAAGGUCUUCGGAUUGUAAAGCUCUGUCUUUAGGGACGAUAAUGACGGUACCUAAGGAGGAAGCCACGGCUAACUACGUG